AACGAACGCUGGCGGCAGGCUUAACACAUGCAAGUCGAACGCACCUUUCGGGGUGAGUGGCAGACGGGUGAGUAACGCGUGGGAAUCUACCCUUCUCUACGGGAUAGCUCCGGGAAACUGGAAUUAAUACCGUAUACGUCCUGAGGGAGAAAGAUUUAUCGGGGAAGGAUGAGCCCGCGUUGGAUUAGCUAGUUGGUGGGGUAAAGGCCUACCAAGGCGACGAUCCAUAGCUGGUCUAAGAGGAUGAUCAGCCACAUUGGGACUGAGACACGGCCCAAACUCCUACGAGAGGCAGCAGUGGGGAAUAUUGGACAAUGGGCGCAAGCCUGAUCCAGCCAUGCCGCGUGAGUGAUGAAGGCCCUAGGGUUGUAAAGCUCUUUCAGUGGGGACGAUAAUGACGGUACCCACAGAAGAAGCCCCGGCUAACUUCGUG
rnacentral:rRNA from 1 species